AUUAUUGCAGUAGGCAUUUGUUGGACGGUUAGUGUGAUUUAUUCAGUAGGAAGAGAAGUACUGAGCAAUAGAAGGUGAUUGGUGCGACUGUGGAGCACUUAACCAACAUUAUAAAAGAACUGCGAAGUUCCACUCUUGAUAUUAAGGAAUCAACUAAGGAGUUGCAGAUGAAAGUGAAGGCCAUUCAAGCUCCCUAUCGGCCUCCAUGGCUGGAUGCCGGG
rnacentral:lncRNA from 1 species